rnacentral:rRNA from 1 species
UACAGAGGUCCCAAGCGUUGUUCGGAUUCACUGGGCGUAAAGGGUGCGUAGGUGGUGAGGUAAGUCGGAUGUGAAAUCUCCGGGCUCAACCCGGAAAUGGCAUUGGAAACUACCUUGCUGGAGGAUUUGAGGGGGGGGAUUGGAAUACUUGGUGUAGCAGUGAAAUGCGUAGAUAUCAAGUGGAACACCAGUGGCGAAGGCGAAUCCCUGGAAAAUACCUGACACUGAGGCACGAAAGCUAGGGGAGCAAACAGG